rnacentral:ncRNA from 1 species
AAUUUCUUAGAAAAAGUAGAUAAAUCGCCUUGGCUUCAUCGAACCUUGCAUCGGUUUUCUAUUUUUCUACAGAGAUU